UACAUGGGGUGCAAACGUUGCUCGGAAUCAUUGGGCGUAAAGCGCGCGUAGGCGGUUACUUAAGUCGGAUGUGAAAGCCCUCGGCUUAACCGAGGAAGUGCAUCCGAAACUGAGUAGCUAGAGUACUAAAGAGGGUCGCGGAAUUCCCGGUGUAGAGGUGAAAUUCGUAGAUAUCGGGAGGAACACCGGUGGCGAAGGCGGCGACCUGGGUAGAUACUGACGCUGAGGCGGCGAAAGCGUGGGGAGCAAACAGG
rnacentral:rRNA from 1 species